rnacentral:rRNA from 1 species
UGGCCAGACUCCUACGGGAGGCAGCAGUGGGGAAUAUUGGGCAAUGGGCGAAAGCCUGACCCAGCAAUGCCGCGUGAAUGAAGAAGGUCUUAGGAUUGUAAAAUUCUGUCCUAUGGGAAGAAACAAAUGACGGUACCAUAGGAGGAAGCCCCGGCUAACUACGUGCCAGCAGCCGCGGUAAUACGUAGGGGGCGAGCGUUGUCCGGAUUUACUGGGUGUAAAGGGCGUGCAGCCGGAGAGACAAGUCAGAUGUGAAAUCCACGGGCUCAACCCGUGAACUGCAUUUGAAACUGUUUCCCUUGAGUGUCGGGGAGGUAAUCGGAAUUCCUUGUGUAGCGGUGAAAUGCGUAGAUAUAAGGAAGAACACCAGUGGCGAAGGCGGAUUACUGGACGAUAACUGACGGUGAGGCGCGAAAGCGUGGGGAGCAAACAGGAUUAGAUACCCGUGUA